UUUUGAGCAUACGACCGUUUUGCAUUUUUGAUGCCACAGGACAGAUUGGCUCUUGCUGUUUUGAGGGCUGCUUUAUCUCCUGAUCUGAAUGCUUCAUCUCUGGUCUUUAGCAGCCCACGAACCUCUGCUGUCAUCCACGGCUUUUGGUUUGCACGUGUGGUGAUGGUCUUGGUGACUGUCACAUCAUCAAUGCACUUUUUGAUGUAAGCACUCACAGUUUCAGUGUACUCCUGCAGGUCUGUGUGGUUGUUGUAGGUGGCUGCCUCUUUAAACAUGUUCCAGUCUGUGCACUGAAAGCAGUCCUGUAGAGUUGAGGUAGCAUCAUCUGGCCAAACUGUGAUGAGUUUUUGAACUGGUUUGGCGAGUUUCAGAAGUGGUCUGUAUGCUGGAAUUAGCAUAACAGAGAUGUGAUCCGAGUACCCUAGAUCCAGAAUUCUUGUAAUU